rnacentral:rRNA from 1 species
UACGUAGGGGGCUAGCGUUGUCCGGAAUCAUUGGGCGUAAAGAGCGCGCAGGCGGUCGAUCAAGUCGCGUGUGAAAGCCCCCGGCUCAACUGGGGAGGGUCACGCGAUACUGAUCGACUCGAAGGCAGGAGAGGGUAGUGGAAUUCCCGGUGUAGUGGUGAAAUGCGCAGAUAUCAGGAGGAACACCGGUGGCGAAGGCGGUUCUCUGGGCAUGUUCUGACGCUGAGGAGCGAAAGUGUGGGGAGCGAACAGG